UUUUUCUCUUUCUUUAGAGAGCCAUCAUGCUGUGUGGUCAAUCAUGGCCGGCUAUUACAUGUGUGAUUACUUCUCCUGACUGGGAUAAUCUUAAUCCUGCAAUUUCUUCUCCUUUGAAAUGUAUAUGAAUUAAAAAGAAAAUAAACAUGUUGUCUUUCAAAACUAAUGAUGUGAUAAAUAUAUCUUUAUGGCAGCAGUUUGGAACUUUCAAAGGAACCUGCCGUUCAAAUAAAGAAUUUACAUCAUAAUAACCUGUUUCAAUGUCUGGUGCCAAGAACAGAACUCAGAGCCUCUCUUAGUUUCCUAGGCUUGUUUAUAAACAUAUGUCCAGUGACAAUAAACUACCAACACAGAGCUGAAAGGCAAAAUCUGUAUCUAGGACUCCCUAGAUAUAUACAGUUCCAGUUUCUACCAGCAUUUUGAUACAAACCUACCAGUAACGGGGAAAUGGCAGAAUCAGCACGCUUACAACCAUUGACUUAUUCAGCCGCUGCAACCCUGACAGGAUGGCUCUGAAGAGAAGAUAAGACCCAAGAGCCUAAUGGGUGUGCUGAAUUAGCAUGUUCCCUCAUCAGUCCUCAUCGCAUAAGCAGCCUGAACAGCCAACAAAACAGCUGUCCCUUGGAAGAACCUCAGCAGGGGAAGAGUAAAAAAAAGAAGAUAAAAAUCACAGAACGUCAUUUAGAGAAAUUCCUGGAAAGAAGAGUAGAAAAACAUUCCUGGACAACGAAACAUAUAGGAGCAAGUCAUAUGGAUGUAAAUCUUCAUGCAAAUCAGAAGAACUUAUUCUACAUUUUCAAUGUGCAUCACGGAUCAGACCACGAAACCUCACGAAACAGCGCUGACCACCUGGUUUCUGCUGCAUGA
rnacentral:lncRNA from 1 species